rnacentral:sRNA from 1 species
AUGGGGCUUGGGGCUGGGCCCGGCCAGACGCUGACUCGGAUGCUCCCAGGCUACGUCCUGCAUGACCCGUCGCGGCCGCGCGCCCCCGCCUUCACCUUCGGCGCGCGCUUCCCCACGCAGCAGACGACGUGCGGCCCCGGGCCAGGCCACCUGGUGCCCGCUCGCAUGACCGUGCGCGGCACCGACGGCGCCCCCGCCUACUCCAUCUACGGCCGCCCACGCCGCUCAGCGCCCUUCCUCACUCCGGGACCUGGUCAGGACCCCUGGGCCCCUGGCCACCCCAACGCCGAACUGCCUCCAGGGAGGCCCACCUGGGAACCCCCGACCUGAACCCCGAGUCCCCCUCGGAUACCCUAACACCGCAUAUUCGGUACCCCCAUAUCCGGAUGUCAAAUCCCAAACCCCGAACCCCACGGGGCUUUGAUAAAUCGUGGCUCAGACUCCCCACUAGUCCCAGGACCCCAUCUCGGGUACCCACCAGGCUCCCACGCAGUUCUAGCCCCCCACACCCUUGAUCCGCCCCGCAGGCAGGUACUUCCCGGAGCGAGCGGGGAACGCGACGUACCCCAGUGCACCUCGGCACACCAUUGCUCCCCGAAACUGGGGUGUCCAGGCGGAGCAGCAGAGCCCAGGUCCCGCGGCCUAUACUGUGCCCUCGCUCUUGGGUCCGCGCGUCAUCGGCAAAGUCUCCGCCCCAACUUGCUCCAUCUACGGCCGCAGAGCGGCUGGCAGUUUCUUCGAGGACCUCAGCAAGGUCGUGAGUCCAGGGGUCUACAAGUCCCGGGCCCCCCAGUUCACGAUUCUGGCGCGGACUUCGCUCCCCCAAGACAACACUCGGAAGCCAGGGCCCGCGGCCUACAACGUGGAUCAGCACCGGAAGCCCCGCGGCUGGAGUUUCGGGAUCCGGCACUCGGACUACCUGGCCCCGCUGGUGACCGACGCGGACAACUGACCCGCCAGGCGGGAGCGGCCCCACACGUGUUUGCUUAAAGUCUGCGAGUCCGCAUCGUGUCCGCCUCUCUCUCUCUCUCUCUCUGCGCGUCCUGGCGCAAGGCCAGGGGUGGAGCUAGGGCUGGGGCCGUGUCCCAACUCCGAACCCAGCGGGGCGGGGCCCGAGCGUCGGGCGAGGCCGGGACCCCAGCGCUGCGCCGCGUCCGAACGUCGAGACCCCACCGAGGGCGGGAGGGGGACUCUCGGGAGCCACAGACGCCCGAGACCCACGCCGGGCGGGACCGGCCAGGGAUCACCCCCGCCGACGGCCCCGGGCCCCGACGGCCCGGAAGUUCCGCGUGUCCGGGGGCACCGGGGGAUUGGCCGGGGCGCGGCGUGCGAGGCUUCCCGGGGGCGGCGACUGCCGAGCUCCGCCCUCCAGGCGGCCCCACCCGCCUGCCGUCCUGGGGCGCCACCGCCCCGCCGCCGGCAGUGGACCACUGUGCGCGAACCCUGAACCCUACGGUCCCGACCCGCGGGCGAGGCCGGGUACCUGGGCUGGGAUCCGGAGCAGGCGGGCGAGGGCAGCCGCCCUAAGCAGGUACGGGCGGGGCUCAAGUCGCGAGGCGGGGAAGCGGGAGGCAGACACGGACGAGGGCGACACAGACACGGGACCGAGAGGCGGACACCGGAGAGACACGGGAAAGGGGUCGGGACAGGAGCACGUGGCUCAGACACCGACGCCGGGAGGCCACAGCCCCCGGACGUGUCAGGCAUCCCCGCAGGCCCGGAGCG